rnacentral:rRNA from 1 species
AUUGAACGCUGGCGGCAGGCCUAACACAUGCAAGUCGAGCGGAUGAAGGGAGCUUGCUCCUGGAUUCAGCGGCGGACGGGUGAGUGAUGCCUAGGGAUCUGCCUGGUAGUGGGGGAUAACGUCCGGAAACGGGCGCUAAUACCGCAUACGUCCUGAGGGAGAAAGUGGGGGAUCUUCGGACCUCACGCUAUCAGAUGAGCCUAGGUCGGAUUAGCUAGUUGGUGGGGUAAAGGCCUACCAAGGCGACGAUCCGUAACUGGUCUGAGAGGAUGAUCAGUCACACUGGAACUGAGACACGGUCCAGACUCCUACGGGAGGCAGCAGUGGUGAAUAUUGGACAAUGGGCGAAAGCCUGAUCCAGCCAUGCCGCGUGUGUGAAGAAGGUCUUCGGAUUGUAAAGCACUUUAAGUUGGGAGGAAGGGCAGUAAGUUAAUACCUUGCUGUUUUGACGUUACCAACAGAAUAAGCACCGGCUAACUUCGUG